rnacentral:lncRNA from 1 species
AAAGGGCUUGCUGUCAGGGGUCCAGGAACUCCUCUGCCUAGAAAGAAGAGCUAGCAGUGACCAACUGGGAGGGGGACAAGAGCGUGUGGCUGGAUUGGAAGUGGCCACGAAGGUCACAUCUGGCCUGGUGUCCUUACCUCCUGACACAGGGUUCUGAGUAUCACCUGUGAUCCCUGACAGCAUCCACGAGGCAGGCAAGAGAAAGAGUGCUUUGUGAAGGCCCUGAAGCAGAAUACAAACACAGAAGUGGAACUUCACGAAGAAGCUUGAUCCCAGGGCCACUGGAGUCUGAGGACCAGUGGGUGGAGAGCCACGAUAAUCCAGAUGACCCAACAGGACCAGCCAAAAUUGGCACUUUCAGAGCCCUCCUGGAUGCCGAGCAGAUCUUGAUGUAUCUUAGCACUUCUCAGAAGCCUUCCAAACAUGCAGUAUUGCUGGACCAGAGGCUACACAAAAUAAAGGCCUCAUUACCCAUAGCAAACCAAAAAAGAAGAAAAUGCAGCCCAAGAUUGCCAUGGUUACAAGGAUUAGAUGCAAUGGUGGUUAAUUUGCUUUGCACACCCAGUGCUCCUGGUGAACAGUGUGUCUGAGCAAGAUUUUGACCUGGUCUCUGAUCUGUUUGAGCUUCUGCAGAAUAUUUCAGACCUACGAGAGGAAGAGAAAAAAAGCCUGGUGAGAUCUUGCCAUGUCAGCGAUCCAGCAAAUACCAGCUUUACUCAGCAGGACAAUCCAGUAUCACUUUUCAUCUGAGAUCUUUCCUGUAUCCCCAUAGGAGAAAGGGCAGAGAGCACCUGGGCCUGGAUGUUUUUCUCAACUGUAAAAAAUUGCUUGACAAUGGAUUGUUAACUACACACUGUGCUGGAGUUAUAGUAAAACACCACAUUUCUCCAAUAGUCUAAAUACUUGAUAUUGAAAAAUAAGUGUGUAUCAGUGUCUGAAUCUAACAUUAAACAGAGGCCUUCUAGGGAGCCUAACAAACUUUGAAGUGAAGGCUCUUAUUAUUUCUGGAGUGCUGAAUUCUUCCUUGGCUCUCCUUGGGAACCCCUAUAUCUGGGAAUCCCCAGAGAAACCAUCUCACAGGAAAUUCAUGCACACUGAAAGGAUACUGUAAUCAGCAAGAGUGUGCUUCCUGCAAAUCUUCCCAAGGGUAAGCAUUGAACUGUAAAGGGGAUACUCAUGAAGGG